rnacentral:rRNA from 1 species
GACGAACGCUGGCGGCGUGCUUAACACAUGCAAGUGGAGCGACGAACCAGGGCUUGCCCUGGGGCAGAGCCGCGAACGGGUGAGUAACACGUGGGUAACCUGCCCAGAUGACCGGGACAACCCGAGGAAACUCGGGCUAAUACCGGAUGUGUUCGUCUCACAUCAGUGGGAUGAGGAAAGGAAGCUUCGGCCUCCGCAUCUGGAUGGGCCCGCGGCCCAUUAGCUAGUUGGUGAGGUAAUGGCUUACCAAGGCUUCGAUGGGUAGCUGUUCUGAGAGGAAGAUCGGCCACACUGGGACUGAGACACGGCCCAGACUCCUACGGGAGGCAGCAGUGGGGAAUCUUGCGCAAUGCGCGAAAGCGUGACGCAGCAACGCCGCGUGCGGGAAGACGGCCUUCGGGUUGUAAACCGCUUUCAGUUGGGACGAAGCUUCGCCGGUGAAUAGCCGGCCGGAGUGACGGUACCUUCAGAAGAAGCCCCGGCUAACUACGUGCCAGCCGCCGCCGUAACAC